AUUGAACGCUGGCGGCAGGCCUAACACAUGCAAGUCGAACGAGUGGCGGACGGGUGAGUAAUGUCUGGGACACUGCCCGAUGGAGGGGGAUAACUACUGGAAACGGUAGCUAAUCCCGCAUUCUCUCGGAUAUGCCCAUAUGGGAUUAGCUAGUAGGUGGGUGAAUGGCUCACCUAGGCGACGCUCCCUAGCUGGUCUGAGAGGAUGACCAGCCACACUGGAACUGAGACACGGUCCAGACUCCUACGGGAGGCAGCAGUGGGGAAUAUUGCACAAUGGGCGCAAGCCUGAUGCAGCCAUGCCGCGUGUAUGAAGAAGGCCUUCGGGUUGUAAAGUACUUUCAGCGAGGAGGCGUUACUCGCAGAAGAAGCACCGGCUAACUCCGUGCCAGCAGCCGCGGUAAUAC
rnacentral:rRNA from 1 species